CCUACGGGGGGCAGCAGUGGGGAAUAUUGGACAAUGGGCGGAAGCCUGAUCCAGCAACGCCGCGUGGGGGAUGACGGCCUUCGGGUUGUAAACCUCUUUCGGUUCCGACGAAGCUGUGCCCUUUGGUGGGUGUGGUGACGGUAGGUUCAGAAGAAGCACCGGCCAACUACGUGCCAGCAGCCGCGGUAAUACGUAGGGUGCGAGCGUUGUCCGGAAUUAUUGGGCGUAAAGGGCUCGUAGGCGGUUUGUCGCGUCGGGAGUGAAAACAUCGGGCU
rnacentral:rRNA from 1 species